UGAUUAUUUUUCUCGACCCUGUGUCUGACUGCCCACUGAAAAAUUUAAAUGGCCGCAGUAUACUAACUGUGCAAAGGUAGCAUAAUCAUUAGUCUUUUAAUUGAAGGCUGGAAUGAAUGGUUGGACGAAAUAUUAACUGUUUCAUUUAAAUUUAUUAUAGAAUUUUAUUUUUUAGUCAAAAAGCUAAAAUAUUAUUAAAAGACGAGAAGACCCUAUAAAUCUUUAUAUUUUAUUUAUUUUAAUUGUAUAGAUUAAUUUUAUUAUAAUAAUUAAAAAUAUUUUAUUGGGGUGAUAUUAAAAUUUAAUAAACUUUUAAUUUAUUAUUACAUUUAUUUAUGAUUAGUUGAUCCGAUUUUAUCGAUUAAAAAUUUAAGUUACUUUAGGGAUAACAGCGUAAUUUUUUUGGAGAGUUCAUAUCGAUAAAAAAGAUUGCGACCUCGAUGUUGGAUUAAGAGAUAAAUUUGGGCGCAGCCGUUCAAAAGUUAAGUCUGUUCGACUUUUAAAUUCUUACGUGAUCUGAGUUCAGACCGGA
rnacentral:rRNA from 1 species